rnacentral:rRNA from 1 species
GAGAUUCCUACGGGAGGCAGCAGUCGGGAAUAUUGGACAAUGGAGGAAACUCUGAUCCAGCAAUGCCGCGUGUGUGAUGAAGGCCCUAGGGUUGUAAAGCACUUUCAACGGUGAAGAUGAUGACGGUAGCCGUAGAAGAAGCCCCGGCUAACUUCGUGCCAGCAGCCGCGGUAAUACGAAGGGGGCGAGCGUUGUUCGGAAUUAUUGGGCGUAAAGGGCGCGCAGGCGGUUUGGAUAGUUAGACGUGAAAGCCCUGGGCUUAACCUAGGAACUGCGUUUAAUACUGCCAAACUAGAGAACUAGAGAGGAUAGCGGAACUCCCAGUGUAGAGGUGAAAUUCGUAGAUAUUGGGAAGAACAUCAGUGGCGAAAGCGACUGUCUGGCUAGUUUCUGACGCUGAGGCGCGAAAGCGUGGGGAGCAAACAGGAUUAGAUACCCUGGUAGUCCACGCCGUAAACGAUGUGUGCUAGAUGUUGGAAGGUUACCUUGCAGUGUCGCAGCUAACGCGUUAAGCACACCGCCUGGGAAGUACGGUCGCAAGAUUAAAACUCAAAGGAAUGACGGAAU